CACGUAGGGGGGCUAGCGUUGUCCGGAAUUACUGGGCGUAAAGAGCUCGUAGGUGGUUUGUCGCGUUGUCCGUGAAAACUCACAGCUUAACUGUGAGCGUGCUUCCGAUACGGGCAGACUUGAGGUAUUCAGGGGAGAACGGAAUUCCUGGUGUAGCGGUGAAAUGCGCAGAUAUCAGGAGGAACACCGGUGGCGAAGGCGGUUCUCUGGGAAUAUCCUGACGCUGAGGAGCGAAAGUGUGGGGAGCGAACAGG
rnacentral:rRNA from 1 species